GACGAACGCUGGCGGCGUGCCUAAUACAUGCAAGUAGAACGCUGAAGGAGGAGCUUGCUUCUCUGGAUGAGUUGCGAACGGGUGAGUAACGUGUAGGUAACCUGCCUGGUAGCGGGGGAUAACUAUUGGAAACGAUAGAUAAUACAGAAUAAGAGUAGAUGUUGCAUGACAUUUGCUUAAAAGGUGCAUUUGAAUCACUACCAGAUGGACCUGCGUUGUAUUAGCUAGUUGGUGGGGUAACGGCUCACCAAGGCGACGAUACAUAGCCGACCUGAGAGGGUGAUCGGCCACACUGGGACUGAGACACGGCCCAGACUCCUACGGGAGGCAGCAGUAGGGAAUCUUCGGCAAUAGACGGAAGUCUGAACGAGCAACGCCGCGUGAGUGAAGAAGGUUUUCCGAUCGUAAAGCUCUGUUGUAAGGGAAGAACGAGUGUGAGAGUGGAAAGUUCACACUGUGACGGUAUCUUACCAGAAAGGGACGGCUAACUACGUG
rnacentral:rRNA from 1 species